CCUACGGGUGGCAGCAGUGGGGAAUAUUGGUCAAUGGAGGAGACUCUGAACCAGCAAAGCCGCGUGAAUGAUGACGGUCUUCGGAUUGUAAAGUUCUUUUCUAAGGGAAGAAGAAAGUGACGGUACCUUAGGAAUCAGCCUCGGCUAACUACGUGCCAUCAGCCGCGGUAAUACGUAGGAGGCGAGCGUUAUCCGGAAUGACUGGGCGUAAAGGGUGCGUAGGUGGUUUGACAAGUUGGUAGCGUAACUCUGAGGCUCAACCUCGGCACUACCACCAAAACUGUCGGACUUGAGUGCAGGAGGGGCAAUUGGAAUGCCUAGUGUAGCGGUGGAAUGCGUAGAUAUUAGGAGGAACACCGAUGGCGAAGGCGAAUUGCUGGA
rnacentral:rRNA from 1 species